CCUACGGGUGGCAGCAGUGAGGAAUAUUGGUCAAUGGACGAGAGUCUGAACCAGCCAAGUAGCGUGAAGGAUGACUGCCCUAUGGGUUGUAAACUUCUUUUAUAAUGGACUAAAACGAGGCCCGUGUGCCUUUUUGCAUGUACUUUAUGACAAAGAAUCGGCUAACUACGUGCCAGCAGCCGCGGUAAUACGGAGGAUGCGAGCGUUAUCCGGAUUUAUUGGUUUUAAAGGGUGUGUAGGCGGGCAUUUAAGCCGGCGGUCAAAUGUCGGGGCUCAACCCCGGCCUGCCGUCGGAACUGGGUGCGUUGAGUGGGCGAGAAGUAUGCGGAAGGCGUGGUGUAGCGGUGAAAUGCAUAGAUAUCACGCAGAACCCCGAUUGCGAAGGCAGCAUACCGGCGCCCUACUGACGCUGAGGCACGAAAGUGCGGGUAUCGAACAGGAUUAGAUACCCCUGUAGUC
rnacentral:rRNA from 1 species